GAUGAACGCUGGCGGCGUGCCUAAUACAUGCAAGUCGAGCGAACAGACGAGGAGCUUGCUCCUCUGACGUUAGCGGCGGACGGGUGAGUAACACGUGGAUAACCUACCUAUAAGACUGGGAUAACUUCGAGAAACCGGAGCUAAUACCGGAUAAUAUAUUGAACCGCAUGGUUCAAUAGUGAAAGACGGUUUUGCUGUCACUUAUAGAUGGAUCCGCGCCGCAUUAGCUAGUUGGUAAGGUAACGGCUUACCAAGGCAACGAUGCGUAGCCGACCUGAGAGGGUGAUCGGCCACACUGGAACUGAGACACGGUCCAGACUCCUACGGGAGGCAGCAGUAGGGAAUCUUCCGCAAUGGGCGAAAGCCUGACGGAGCAACGCCGCGUGAGUGAUGAAGGUCUUCGGAUCGUAAAACUCUGUUAUUAGGGAAGAACAAAUGUGUAAGUAACUAUGCACGUCCUGACGGUACCUAAUCAGAAAGCCACGGCUAACUACGUG
rnacentral:rRNA from 1 species